UAAAAAUAAAGGGAGUAAUGAACAUGCGCUGCGGCUUGGCAAGGAGUGAUGAGCUGAAAGCAAGCCUCACGGAGCACUGCCGAUAAACUAGCCGAGAAAGAAGAGUUAAGACGGAGGAGCAGAGGAACGAAUCCUCACCUGGACGAAGCGCAGCGAUAUAACGGCCGGGGGUCGGCCGGCAGGAACCAAGCCUCGCCGGAGAUUGGGACGGGCACCUCGCCGGAGCAGCACGGUCUUGGAUUUGGAUUGGCGCGCUGUGGGGAGGGGAGG
rnacentral:lncRNA from 1 species